AGGUGUAAUAUAGUGAACGUGAGUAUCAAUUCCUCCAGCUGUAACUAUUGUUCCCUCUCCAGCUAUAACUUCAGUACUUGCAGAUACAAUAAAAUCUACAUUAUCCAUCAUAUCUGGGUUUCCACCUUUACCGAUGAAUUUAAUCUUUCCAUCUUUUAUACCGAUAUCAGCUUUAUAUACUCCUGUGUAGUCAAGAAUAACUGCAUUUGUGAUUAUUGUAUCAACAACUUU
rnacentral:sRNA from 1 species